GGGCCCGCACAAGCGGUGGAGUAUGUGGUUUAAUUCGAUGCAACGCGAAGAACCUUACCAAGAAUUGACAUGCUGCGAACGUUUACGAAAGUAAAAAGUCUAUUAACUUAGUUAAUAGCGCAGACACAGGUGGUGCAUGGUUGUCGUCAGCUCGUGCCGUGAGGUGUUAGGUUAAGUCCUGCAACGAGCGCAACCCUUGUCUUUAGUUAUAUUCUAGAGAGACUGCCGGUGAUAAACCGGAGGAAGGUGAGGAUGACGUCAAAUCAGCAUGCCCCUUACAUCUUGGGCGACUCACGUGCUACAAUGGUCGGGACAAAGAGAUGCUACCCUGCGAAGGCAAGCUAACCUCAAAAACCCGAUCUCAGUUCGGAUUGCAGGCUGCAACUCGCCUGCAUGAAGUUGGAAUCGCUAGUAAUCGCAGGUC
rnacentral:rRNA from 1 species